UGCUUGCCGUCCUUCUGGGGAUCCCGGGGUUGCUCGGCUCGCCGCCCUCGGCGGUUGCAGUCGUCGUCGUGCAGGCCUGCGGCGGUCGCCCAUGGAGAAGAACGGGCGGGGCGGCGAUAGCGCCCCCCGGGGGCCCGUACUGCACAUCGCGGUGGUCGGCUUUCAUCACAAGAAGGGCUGCCAGGUUGAAUUCUCUUACCCGCCCCUGAUUCCAGGAGAUGGACAUGACAGUCACACUCUACCUGAAGAAUGGAAGUAUUUGCCCUUCCUUGCCUUACCAGAUGGCGCACACAACUACCAAGAAGAUACUGUGUUUUUUCACUUGCCACCCAGAAAUGGAAAUGGAGCCACUGUAUAUGGUAUCUCUUGCUAUCGACAAAUUGAAGCCAAGGCAUUGAAAGUACGGCAAGCAGAUAUCACCAGAGAGACCGUUCAGAAAAGUGUCUGUGUUCUAAGCAAGCUGCCUCUCUAUGGCUUACUUCAAGCAAAACUUCAACUCAUUACGCAUGCAUAUUUUGAAGAGAAGGAUUUUUCCCAAAUUGCCAUUCUAAAGGAGCUCUAUGAACAUAUGAAUAGCUCCCUGGGAGGAACUUCAUUAGAAGGAUCCCAGGUAUAUCUUGGUCUAUCUCCUCGAGAUCUUGUGCUUCAUUUUCGACACAAGGUCCUAAUCCUGUUUAAACUAAUUCUUCUUGAAAAAAAGGUUCUCUUUUAUAUUUCUCCAGUGAAUAAAUUGGUGGGUGCCCUGAUGACGGUGUUAUCCCUUUUUCCAGGCAUGAUUGAACAUGGUCUCAGUGAUAGUUCUCAAUAUAGACCCCGAAAGAGUAUGUCUGAAGAUGCUGGGCUUCAAGAAAGUAAUCCCCCUGAAGAUGAAUUUGUUUCUAUGCCUGCUCCUGACAUUUCAAAUACCAAUGUGGGAACUGUUGAGAAAAUCAUGUUGAGAAACCAUGGAAGAGAUACUGUCAUCAAGACUGAAGAACCUUUGUUCCAGGUAGAUGAUGACAGCACUGAAGGACAGGAACCCAAUAACAGCAAUCAAUAUUUGAAACCUCCUUCUCGCCCAUCUCCAGAGUCUUCAGAAAGUGACUGGGAGACCUUGGAUCCUAGUGUCUUAGAGGACUCCUCCUUGAAAGAAAGAGAACAGGUGGGAUCAGAACAGAGAAACUCAUUUCCAAAGGACUCUUUGCCCUCCGACAGUCCUCCGAUUACUGUACAACCUCAAGCUAACACAGGCCAGGUAGUCCUGAUACCAGGGCUAAUUUCUGGUUUGGAAGAGGACCAGUAUGGCAUGCCCCUGGCCAUCUUCACAAAGGGAUAUCUGUGUUUGCCUUAUAUGGCAUUGCAGCAGCAUCAUCUUCUCUCUGAUGUCACCAUUCGAGGAUUUGUUGCUGGAGCUACUAACAUCCUUUUUCGACAACAGAAACACCUCAGUGAUGCCAUUGUGGAAGUAGAAGAAGCUCUGAUCCAGAUCCAUGAUCCAGAACUUAGGAAGCUGCUUAACCCAACCACUGCAGACCUAAGGUUCGCAGAUUACCUAGUGAGGCAUGUGACCGAGAACCGGGAUGAUGUCUUCCUGGAUGGCACGGGCUGGGAGGGAGGUGACGAAUGGAUUCGAGCCCAGUUUGCAGUCUACAUCCAUGCACUGCUGGCCGCCACACUGCAGUUAGAUAAUGAAAAGAUCUUAUCAGACUAUGGGACGACCUUUGUUACAGCAUGGAAGAACACUCACAACUACAGGGUCUGGAACAGCAACAAGCAUCCAGCACUUGCAGAAAUAAAUCCGAACCAUCCUUUCCAAGGCCAGUAUUCAGUGUCAGACAUGAAGUUAAGAUUCUCACAUUCUGUUCAAAACAGUGAACGUGGCAAAAAACUUGGAAACGUCAUGGUCACAACGAGUCGGAAUGUUGUGCAAACAGGAAAAGCUGUUGGCCAGUCAGUUGGAGGAGCUUUUUCCAGUGCAAAGACAGCCAUGUCUUCAUGGCUUUCUACUUUCACCAGUUCGACUCCACAGAGUCUCACUGAGCUGCCUGACGGGAAAUCCUGAGCAGAGCAAGCCACCCAGAAGCUGCUGUUGCUUUCUUAGGUUUAAGCGUCCCCUGUCUGCCUGCUGCUCCCAGACUGUCCUCCUCAUCGACCACAGGUCCACAGCAGGGACCUAUAGGUCAGACUGUUUACAUGGACGGUUGCCCUCUGUGUAAAUGAAUGUCACGAGAUGCUGAAAAGACGAAACCAGAACCGUAGCAGGGACGGCUUCCCAGUGGACUUGGCCUGUUUUUCUAGAAGUACCCUUCAUGUUGUCAGUGUGGUUUCUGGCCUGCUUCACAGUUGGACAGAAGGGCCAGCUUCGUUUAUUAGGAAACCAGCGGAACUAAAGGACUCAUUGCUCGUUUUUUUUUUUACUCUCUUAUUUUGAAAAUACUUGUGGUGCUUCAGUUUGUGAGGUGGUGACCCUCACAGCAAGAAUGUUUAGUGCCUGAGGCUGCACAAAGUACAACCAAACGGAGUUUGGUCAUGCAGUAACAUCUUGUCACAUGCUCACGGACAGAAAUCCCCAGGGGACUAGGAUAUUGUCCCAAGCAACCCAUUUUUCCAUCCGUACUGGUGAGCUUCAAAAUAACCUUGACAUUUCCACUGAGGACUCCUAGUACAUUUUCACAUAUGUAUUUCCAUGUACCAUGGUUUCCUUAGAGCUGUUUUGCAAAACAGCUUCACAGAAGAAGGAGACAAAUUUCUUUGCUCCCAGGAAUGUGCGCUGCCUUGAGUACAGGGUUCAAUUUAAGGUACUAGUGUUCUUACAACGUGGACUGUUGCUGCCUGGAGCUGACAAGGUGACUCGGGCCGUAGAGCUCGACACCGCCAACGUCUCCCUUUUCCGAGGACCUGUUCCAGCUGCGCUUCAGGCUCUGCCGUGGUGAGGGGAUGGUCCCCCAUUGUCUCCCAGGUCAGAGCUGCCUGCUCUUCAUUCGGAUAGGAUGGGAGUUGCAAUGAUCAAACCUGGCAACAUCUGGAAGGAGCAUGAUUAUAGAGCCAGUCUCUUCCAAGGAAGCACACUUUGUGAAGGGCUCAUCUCCUCCUGUGGUCAUCACAGGCUUGGGGAACCGCUCUGCAGCAGGACUGAUCUGUCCAAGUUCACAAUCGACAGAUCCCCAGCUGACCUUCCAGUUCCGUGACUGACAGCCAACUCCAGUCGAGGCGGCUAAGGUCUAGUCAUCCAGCACAGGUCCUGUGCAAAACUUUGCCUCAGCGUGAGUUUUUGAAGACAGAGGAAGGAACCCAAUUUUUUUUACUUUGAAGGACUGCUGUUCUCCAAGUCUAGCAAUCACAUAAAUGACCGGUGGGUCCAGAACUGUCCUGUGCAGCCACAAGCCCUAAGGACUUUUAACACUGAAGCAGAGACUCACACUGGCCUCCAGAGAUCCAAGAUGUGCACAUCUUUGGCUACGCGCCCUGGGAAGUCACUUUCAAAACUAACCCAAGUCCCUCACACUGCAUUUUAAACCCUAUACCUUCUCCCCAUCAAGUAUUUGAGUGCCUGCUGUGUACACACACAGUACAUG